CAGAAACAUACCCACAGCUCUGUAGCUUGGUCAUCCAGUCAACAUCUCGUAUGUCAGCAGGAACCCUAGUCAAUGAUUUUGCCAUCAUGGGUCUUGAAGACAUGAAGUUUUUCCGAAAAAAAGAAGCCAUGAUGUUGAUGUGUCAAGUGCUCUCUGGAGUCUGGACAAAUCACACUCAGAUUGCCUGUACUAAAAUUUACAUCCCUACAUUGCUGGAUAGCUUUGUUCUUGCUGUAUUGUUGCCGGGUGUCUCCAUUGCUAGCCACAACUAUGUAUUUUGUUUUGUUUCCCUUUUCUGUCUGCAUGCACGGUGAUAAUGCCUUUCGUGGACCUUGUUUUUUUUUCUUCUAAUCGAUCAAGGUUUCUUUCCCCCGGAAAAAAUAAAAGGAUCAGAGUUUUUCUUUCACAUUGAUUGUUUUCCAAAAGUGAUCCAUAUAAGUUUUCUGCCACAUAAAAUCUGCAGGGUAGAAAAAGACUGGCACAGAGUGCCUACGAAUCAAACUCCUGUUUAAGAUUUUGAGGCAUGCUUUUGUAUAUAUUUCAAGUCAGUUUGGAUAUUAUGAUGGAUUGUGACAGUACUGUUUAGUUAAAUGAUAUCUUAGUCUGUAUUUGUUUUGCCGCUUUGCUUAGCUGAUGUACUUGUGAAAAUUUAUUAUUUUUUGAAUGAUAUACUUGUGAAAAAUAUGAGAUGAAUCCUGCUGGAUGGUAGAAUUCAAACAACUUCAAUGGUAUUGGCCUUCCAUUUUUUUAUAGGAUCUGGAAAAUAUGAUGUAAAUCAUUCAGAACUCUUUUGUGCAUCUGUUUUUUAGAGGCAAUUGAAAUGACACUUUGUAA